UCAGAAUUCUGUAAUUAGCUAAACUGUCAUGAAGAAUAACAGAAGGAAACAAAAAUAAGCAAAAGCCGUGGGGAAAUGUACCACUUUGGUGAAAUAAUUCCCAAAGGAUUAACUUCUACAUGGAAGAAAUGAACAGUUAAAAAGGACAAAAAUGCCAAAAAACUCAUUUUCUUUCUUUUAUCUUCCCUUUAAUCCCAUUUGUGAGCCUCCAGGUUUGCAGUGUGUUGCUGGGCACAACCAGGACAGUGUCUGUGCAAGACAGCAGGCUGACAAGGGGCGCAGGAGCUUGAAGACGCAUCCUCAGUGGGGAAGAGUGGUGUGAC
rnacentral:lncRNA from 1 species